UGCUUAUAAGCCCAAAUCCUAAUCAAUGAGCUUUAAUAAUCUGUAAUAUCCAAUCCGACCGUCCACUUGAUGUGGAAUUUUUCAUGCAAUUUUCAAUGUAAGUCUUCUACAUGCUCAAGAAUUUUUAGUCCAAUCCAACUUACAAAUUGUGAGAAAAACUCCAAAAAUUGCACUAAUAUUACUCGGCUGCUAACUUGAAAAGUGAAGCAGAAAUCCCAGCAAUAAUUUCUUCCUUUUCAACCAUUAACUUUGUGUCAAAAUUGGUGUGUAGCUUGAUCUUCAAGUCUUCCAAUACCAUGCCAAUUUUCACCUUAAUCCAAUUGAUAGAUCUUCAUAUAUCAUAGAAACCCUACCCAACCUCAAACUGCCACCUUCUGAAAUUCUCUUAUGCUAAAAACUAGAUAUUUCUAAACCACGCCGUUAGAUUAUCACAAAAUUUUGUAUACACUUAGCACAUCUAAUAAUCCAAACAUUUCCAAAUUUUCAACCAUAGAUGUUACACCAAUUGCACGAACUAGUCAAAAUUGCUAGCCCUAAUUAUAUUAUAUAAAACCCAAAUCACUAAUACAAACCUUGACUUUGAACAACAAUUUCUAAGUCCUCCAAAGUCCUCUCUUAACAAUUCUUACGUCUUUGGAAAGUACUUCAAGCUAGCUUUCAAAUUCUAACAUCUGAUCUUCAAAUGAUCCCCUAUUUUACCCUAAGCCUUCGUUUUAGUGGCCAGAGAUCUGAUUUGAUCCUAUCUCACAAAUGGUCGACCCCCGG
rnacentral:lncRNA from 1 species